rnacentral:sRNA from 1 species
UUGCAGGUUGACAGGACUGAGGUGAUUCGCACCUGCAUAAACCCAGUGUACUCAAAACUGUUUACUGUGGACUUUUACUUUGAGGAGGUUCAGCGCCUGCGGUUUGAAGUCCAUGACAUCAGCAGCAACCACAAUGGGCUGAAGGAGGCCGACUUCCUUGGUGGCAUGGAGUGCACACUUGGCCAGAUUGUUUCCCAGAGAAAGCUGUCCAAAUCCUUGCUGAAGCAUGGGAACACAGCAGGGAAAUCUUCCAUCACGGUGAUUGCUGAAGAAUUAUCUGGCAAUGACGACUAUGUUGAGCUUGCAUUCAAUGCACGGAAAUUGGAUGACAAGGAUUUCUUCAGUAAAUCUGACCCAUUUCUGGAAAUUUUUCGUAUGAAUGAUGAUGCAACUCAGCAGCUGGUGCACCGAACUGAGGUUGUGAUGAAUAACUUAAGCCCAGCCUGGAAAUCAUUCAAAGUAUCUGUAAAUUCUCUAUGCAGCGGAGACCCAGACCGCCGGCUAAAGUGCAUAGUAUGGGACUGGGACUCCAAUGGCAAGCAUGACUUCAUUGGAGAAUUCACCUCGACAUUCAAGGAGAUGAGAGGAGCAAUGGAAGGGAAACAGGUGCAGUGGGAGUGCAUCAAUCCCAAGUACAAAGCCAAGAAGAAGAAUUACAAGAACUCAGGCACUGUGAUUCUGAAUCUGUGCAAGAUUCACAAGAUGCAUUCUUUCUUGGACUACAUCAUGGGUGGCUGCCAAAUCCAGUUUACAGUAGCUAUAGAUUUCACUGCCUCAAACGGGGACCCCAGGAACAGCUGUUCCUUGCACUACAUCCACCCUUACCAACCCAAUGAGUAUCUGAAAGCUUUGGUAGCUGUGGGGGAGAUUUGCCAAGACUAUGACAGUGACAAAAUGUUCCCUGCCUUUGGGUUUGGCGCCAGGAUACCUCCAGAGUACACGGUCUCUCAUGACUUUGCAAUCAACUUUAAUGAAGACAACCCAGAAUGUGCAGGAAUUCAAGGAGUUGUGGAAGCCUAUCAGAGCUGUCUUCCUAAGCUCCAACUCUACGGUCCCACCAACAUUGCCCCCAUCAUCCAGAAGGUUGCCAAGUCAGCGUCAGAGGAAACUAACACCAAGGAGGCAUCGCAAUACUUCAUCCUGCUGAUCCUGACAGAUGGUGUUAUCACAGACAUGGCCGACACCCGGGAGGCCAUUGUCCAUGCCUCCCACCUCCCCAUGUCAGUCAUCAUCGUGGGAGUAGGGAACGCUGACUUCAGUGACAUGCAGAUGCUGGACGGUGAUGAUGGGAUUCUGAGGUCACCCAAGGGAGAGCCUGUUCUUCGAGACAUCGUCCAGUUCGUGCCCUUCAGGAACUUCAAACACGCAUCUCCAGCUGCCCUGGCAAAGAGCGUGCUGGCUGAAGUCCCAAACCAAGUUGUGGACUAUUACAAUGGCAAAGGAAUUAAACCAAAAUGUUCAUCAGAAAUGUAUGAAUCUUCCAGAACACUAGCACCAUGAACUCCCCACACAGUUUUACAGAGUUCUGAAAUACUAUUCCUGCUAAUAUUUCAUAUUUAAUACUUCUACUACUCCUGUACUUUAAAAAAAAACAACAUAUACACAUUUAAAAAUAGCACGUUUUGGUGAUUUUUAACUAUCUGACAAUUUUUUUUGCAUGUGUAGCCCUGAGGCCUGGAUCUGUUAAACCCUUGUAUUGUUAACUUUUUACAAAGAAAUACAGAUAAUAAUAACUUACUAUUUACAUUACAGCAUGUCGCCUUGAAAUAAAAUGGUAUCUGUAUCCGUUUUUAUACAGGUUUGUUGAAAUUUUGCUAAAUUUCUUAUCUUUACACUCUAAAGCAUUUUGAAACAUUUACUGAACGUUGAUAGACAAAAUAUACUUGGUUUUAUCUGCUAUAGGAUGAAAGACUUUUUAAAAUGGCAGAUGCAUGGACUGUAUUUUGCAUGUUUAAA